GACAGAGGUGCCGAGCGUUAGGCGGAAUCACUGGGCUUAAAGCGUGUGUAGGCGGAUCUGUAAGUACCUUGUGAAAUCCCACGGCUCAACCGUGGAACUGCUGGGUAUACUGCGGAUCUUGAGCCACCUAGGGGCGAGCGGAACAAGUGGUGGAGCGGUGAAAUGCGUAGAUAUCAUCCGGAACUCCGGCGGCGAAGGCGGCUCGCUGGACCUCUUCUGACGCUGAGGCGCGAAAGCUAGGGGAGCAAACGGG
rnacentral:rRNA from 1 species